UACUCCAUGUAGUUUUAAUGUGAGCAUAUUUUUAUGUUCAAAAUCACAUUUUAAUAAGUUGAUGAUAGCAAACCUGCAUUGACAUUUAAAGAAGGCAGGCCAAGCAUGGUGGCUCAUGUUUGUAAUCCCAGCACUUUGUAAGGCCAAGGCGGGAGAAUCACUUGGGUGCAGAAGUUUGAGACCAGCCUGGACAACAUAGUGAGACCCCAUCUCUAUAAAAAUUUUUAGCCCUCACUCGCCAGUGACGACCUGUCUCGCUGUGCGCACGCCCUGCCACCGCCCCGCAGAAAUGCUUUGGUUACCUACAGUCUUUCGCCAGAUGAGACCAGUGUCCAGGGUACUGACUCCUCAUCUCACUCGGGCUUAUGCCAAAGAUGUAAAAUUUGGUGCAGAUGCCCGAGCCUUAAUGCUUCAAGGUGCAGACCUUUUAGCCGAUGCUGUAGCCGUUACAAUGGGGCCAAAGGGAAGAACAGUGAUUAUUGAGCAGAGCUGGGUAAGUCCCAGAGUAACAAAAGAUGGUGUGACGGUUGCAAAGUCAAUUGACUUAAAGGAUAAAUAUAAAAACAUUGGAGCUAAACUUGUUCAAGAUGUUGCCAAUAACACAGAUGAAGAGGCUGGGGAUGGCACUACCACUGCUACUGUACUGGCAUGCUCUAUAGCCAAGGAGGGCUUCAAGAAGAUUAGCAAAGGUGCUAAUCUAGUGGAAAUCAGGAGAGGUGUGAUGUUAGCUGUUGAUGCUGUAAUUGUUGAACUUAAAAAGCAGUCUAAACCUGUGACGACCCCUGAAGAAAUUGCACAGAUUGCUACGAUUUCUGCAAACGGAGACAAAUAAAUUGGCAAUAUAAUCUCUGAUGCAAUGAAAAAGGCUGGAAGAAAGGGUGUCAUCACAGUAAAGGAUGGAAAAACAUUGAAUGAUGAAUUAUAGAUUAUUGAAGGUAUGAAGUUUGAUCGAGGCUAUCUUUCUCCAUACUUUAUUAAUACAUCAAAAGGUCAGAAAUGUGAAUUCCAGGAUGCCUAUGUUCUGUUGAGUGAAAAGAAAAUUUCUAGUGUCCAGUCCAUUGUACCUGCUCUUGAAAUUGCCACUUUUCACCGUAAGCCUUUGGUCAUAAUUGCUGAAGACAUUAAUGGAAAAGCUCUAAGUAUACUCGUCUUGAAUAAGCUAAAGGUUGGUCUUCAGGUUGUGGCAAUCAAGACUCCAGGGUUUGGUGACAAUAGAAAGAACCAGCUUAAAGGUAUGGCUAUUGCUACUGGUGGUGCAGUGUUUAGAGAAGAGGAGCUGACCGUAAAUCUUGAAGACAUUCAGCCUCAUGACUUAGGAAACGUUGGAGAGGUCAUUGUGACCAAAGACGAUGCCAUGCUCUUAAAAGGAAAAGGUGACAAAGCUCAAACUGAAAAAAAUGUAUUCAAGAAACCAUUGAGCAGUUAGAUGUCACAACUAGUGAAUAUGAAAAGGAAAAAACUGAAUGAACGGCUGGCAAAACUUUCAGAUGGAGUAACUGUGCUGAAGGUCGGUGGGACAAAUGAUGUUGAAGUGAAUGAAAAGAAAGACAGAGUUCAGAUGCCCUUAAUGCUACAAGAGCUGCUGUUGAAGAAGGCAUUGUAUUGGGAGGAGGUUGUGCCCUGCUUCAAUGCAUUCCAGCCUUGGACUCAUUGACUCCAGCUGAUGAAGAUCAAAAAAUUGGUAUAGAAAUUAUUAAAAGAACACUCAAAAUUCCAGCAAUGACCAUUGCUAAGAAUGCAGGUGUUGAAGGAUCUUUGAUAGUUGAGAAAAUUACGCAAAGUUCCUCAGAAGUUGGUUAUAUGCUAUGGUUGGAGAUUUUGUGAAUAUGGUGGAAAAAGGAAUUAUUGACCCAACAAAGGCUGUGAGAACUGCUUUACUGGAUGCUGCUGGUGUGGCCUCUCUGUUAACUACAGCAGAAGUUGUAGUCACAGAAAUUCCUAAAGAAGAGAAGGACCAUGGAACGGGUGCAAUGGGUGGAAUGGGAGGUGGUAUGGGAGGUGGCAUGUUCUAACUCUUAGACUAGUGCUUUACCUUUAUUAAUGAACUGUGACAGGAAACCCAAGGCAGUAUUCCUCACCAGUAACUUCAGAGAAGUCAGUUGGAGAAAAUGAAGAAAAAGGCUGGCUGAAAAUCACUAUAACCAUCAGUUACUGGUUUCAGUUGACAAAAUAUAUAAUAGUUUACUGCUGUCAUUGUCCAUGCCUCCAGAUUAUUUAUUUUUAUUUUUAUUUUUCACAAUACACAGUCCUUGUAUUUAGGUACAUUAUGAGACACACUUACUUUUUCUCUACAUUUAGCACAUCAGCAUAGAAAUGUGAUGAAUUAAUCUCCUAGUGAUAUAAAGUAAGAAGUAAUGCACUGCAAUAAAAUAUCACAUGUGACAGGACACCAAGUGGGGUUUUGUUAGGAGGUGGGGAGGAGAAUGGUACAAAGCUGAAUCAGGCAAGGUCCCUACCCUUCAUCAGCUUACAAUUUAGUUGGAGAGUUAAGGCAAUUUAAGAGUGAAAUCGAUUCCAUAAUCAUUAGCUGUCACAAGGCUGCCUGUGAUUAACUUCCAAAUGGGUAAUCCAGUCAAUGAAGGCUGAGCUCAAAGGCAAGAGACUUCAUUGUGGACUGGGAAGACUUCAUUUCUUAGUUGACUUCUCAGAAAGUUGCUUCCUUGCCUCCUGGUAUUAGCCUUUUAUUUUGUAUUUUUGAAUAAAAAAACAUUUGUACAUUCCUGAUACUGGGUACAAGAGCCAUGUACCAAUGUGCUGCUUUCAACUUAAAUCACUGAGGCAUUUUUACUACUAUUCUGUUAAAAUCAGGAUUUUAGUGCUUGCCACCACCUGAUGAGAAGUUAAGUAGCCUUUCUGUGGAGAAUGAGAAUAAGUAGAGAAAUAUCCAAUUAUGUGACAACCUUUGUGUAAUAAAAAUUUGUUUAAAGUUAA